rnacentral:rRNA from 1 species
GUCAGCCGCCGCGGGAACACCGGCGGCCCGAGUGGUGAUCGUGAUUAUUGGGUCUAAAGGGUCCGUAGCCGGUUGGUCAGUCCUCCGGGAAAUCUGAUAGCUCAACUAUUAGGCUUUCGGGGGAUACUGCCAGACUGGAACCGGGAGAGGUAAGAGGUACUACAGGGGUAGGAGUGAAAUCUUGUAAUCCCUGUGGGACCACCUGUGGCGAAGGCGUCUUACCAGAACGGGUUCGACGGUGAGGGACGAAAGCUGGGGGCACGAACCGGAUUAGAUACCCGGGUAGUCCCAGCCGUAAACGAUGCUCGCUAGGUGUCAGGCAUGGCGCGACCGUGUCUGGUGCCGCAGGGAAGCCGUGAAGCGAGCCACCUGGGAAGUACGGCCGCAAGGCUGAAACUUAAAGGAAUUGGCGGGGGAGCACAACAACGGGUGGAGCCCUGCGGUUUAAUUGGACUCAACGCCGGACAACUCACCGGGGGCGACAGCAAUAUGUAGGCCAAGCUGAAGACUUUGCCUGAAUCGCUGAGAAGUGGUGCAUGG